AUUGUGAGAAAUAACCAUUUAUAAGAGAUUCUGCUUGCUGCUUGUUCUUGCAGACGGCUAUGAUGCUUUUGAUCCCACUGGCAAUAUUACCAUCAAAUGGGAUAUUAAGACCUGGAAUGCUGAUGGAUAUGUUGCUGUUGUUACAAUCUUUAAUUUCUACAAAUACCGACAUAUUGAAUCCCCGGGUUGGCAAUUGGGUUGGACAUGGGCCAAAAAAGAAGUAAUCUGGAAUAUGAUGGGGGGUCAGGCAACAGAGCAAGGAGAUUGUUCAAGAUUCAAAGGAACCAUCAUCCCUCAUUGUUGCAACAGAAAGCCGACAAUUGUUGAUUUGAUGCCAGGAACUCCUUACAAUCAGCAGGUUGCAAAUUGCUGCAGGGGUGGAGUUAUAAGCUCUUGGGUCCAAGAUCCGGCAAAUGCUGUGAGUUCUUUCCAACUUACGGUUAGUCAAGCGGGAACUAACAAUACAACUGCCAGAGCACCACAAAACUUCACACUGAAUACACCGGGGCCUGGAUAUACCUGUGGGCCUGCUAGGACAGUAAACCCAAGCAAAUUUGUUUCAGACGACAAGAGAAGGGUUACCCAAGCUUUGAUGACAUGGAACAUUACCUGCAUGUAUUCACAAUUUUUGGCCCAGAAGACACCUACCUGUUGUGUCUCACUCUCAUCCUUUUAUAGCAAAUCCAUUGUGAGCUGUCCAACUUGCGCUUGUGGCUGCCAAAACAGCAUUACCCAACCAGGGAUCUGUGUAGAGUCCGAAUCUCCAAAUGUACCUUCUGCUCUUUCAAGAUCAGGCAAAAAUAGUCAUACACCAUUGGUUCAAUGUACGCGCCAUAUGUGUCCUAUCCGAGUACAUUGGCACAUUAAAGUUAACUACAAAGAGUACUGGCGAGUCAAGGUCACGGUCACAAAUUUUAAUUAUAGAAUGAAUUAUUCUCAGUGGAAUCUUGUUGUUCAGCAUCCAAACUUCGAGCAUCUUACCCGGACUUUCAGCUUUAAUUAUCAACCGUUGACACCUUAUGCUUCCAUAAAUGACACUGCAAUGUUCUGGGGAACUAAAUUCUACAAUGAUUUGCUCAUGCAUGCCGGUCCUUCUGGAAACAUUCAAUCAGAACUUAUAUUCUGGAAGGACAAAUCAACAUUCAGCUUUGAAAAAGGUUGGGGUUUCCCCCAAAGAAUUUACUUCAAUGGUGACAAUUGUGUUAUGCCACCUCCAGAUUUAUACCCAAAUCUGCCAAAUGCUAGUGUCCCUAGAGUUACAUCUCUACAUUGUCUCUUAACAAUGAUACUGGUGUCUUUGGUGAUUGUAUUGGGCUAUGUCUAGAAAGUUGGCUGAAAGAAAUGAAUAAAAAAGGGCUUUAGGUACAGAAUUUCCUUCAGAAAUGGAACUCGAGCUCUGUUUUAAAUCCUGUCAAAGCAUAUCCAAAAGUGAAGCUUUAGUUUGCAACUUCAUGUGAUAAGGGUAGCCCGGUUGAGCAGCAAGGUAUACAGAAUCUCCGUGUUCAUUAAUCAACAGGGGUGCAAUUAUAUUUGUGUCUUUUAUCUGAUACUAAUUCUAGUGCAAUUGUACAUUACAUUGCAAUUACCCAAAAUAUAGUAUGUCUGCAUUCUGCACAUUUAGGAUUCUAUCUGGCUAAAAUCUCCACUAAAUUAUUUAGAUAACUUUAAUUAGAGUUUCUUUUGCUAUUCCAUAAUCGAAAGUACUGGACCCUUGAUUGCACUUUGUUCACAUGGUUUGUGCUAGUUUUUUGGAUAAAAAUCUUUGUAGAAGGACCUCAGGAAUUAAGGUUUCUUUAGUGCAACUGUAGCAUCUCUUUCCUUAGUUUAACAAUAUAUGAAAACGUAAAUGCAUGACAACAGAAUGUUUGAUUUUGCAUCAGUUGACUCAUCCACAUUCUCAAAUUCAAACUUGCAUCUUUGUCAAUUGUUGGGAAAAUCAUAUGCACAAAAGUACUUGAAAUUAUCAUUUUGGAGUAGUCUUGCAUCAGUAUCUCUCCAUUCAUUGUGCCAAAAUUCCAGACUACAUCAUUAUGUUGAUUAGUAAGGAGAGGAUGAUAGCUACCAUGGUUGAAUAGAAUGAUGGGAUUUCAUGGGCAGAGUUGGGUAGAAAGGGGUAUGAAUCCGGAGGUGGGAGCUUGCAUUCAUCUCCAUUGAAAUAGAUCUUCCUCGGAAAUCCCCAUCCCUGCUUGAGAGUAAAGGUAGUCUUAUCCUUCCUUAAGAGUACCUCAGACUGAACAUUUCCAAGUGGCCCAGCUUCCAUCAAGAGGUCAUUGUAGAAUUUCAUGCCAUAAAACAUGGCGGUAUCAUCUGCGCAUCAAGGAUGACAAAUAUUUUGAUUUAUGCCGUAAAACAUGGUGGCAUCAUCUGCACAUUAAGGAUGACAAAUAUUUUGAGUUUACUCGCUUCUUCUUUUUUUAUUUUGUUUCUUUACUUGCUUUGUUUUAAGCUUAUCUUUUAUUUGGUUUUAGUUGAGUGAUCUGUCAGCAGUGAUAUGUCAGUCAUCCUGUAUCUUCAUAAAUUUUCUGAUCUGCCAUCAGUAAUAUGUCAAUCAUUCUUUCUUUCCAAAAGUGUCGGAAGAUUUUCAAAUAUUCUUUGCUUUGUAUUGAUUCAACUUACUUAUAGCUUGAUAUGGAACAAGAGGCUUGUAAUCAAAGCUGAAAACUUGCGUGACGUUGCUGAGGUUGGGAUGUUGUGCAACAAGUGUCCAUUGUGUGUAGUUCAUUCUGUAAUUGAAAUUAGUAACAGCAAUCUUAACACGCCAAUAGUCCCUGUAGUUGAUCUUCACAUGCCAAUGAACACGUAUUGGGCACAUAUGGUGAGUGCACUGUAGUAGCGGUGUAUUGUCCUUUUUUGGAGUAUUUAUUCCCAAUGUGUUCAGUCUCUUCGAGUCACUCCUGCAAUUAGAAAAAAGAAUUAACAGACUCUUUUGGUAAUGUUUCGCUGGAAAAGUGGCAACCUUGAACUUGUAACCUACAAGGAUGUCAAGGCGCUGAACUGGGAAUCGCAACAGGUAAGCAUGACUUACAUGAUACAAUCUCUUUUGUUAUGACAACCACAAGCACAAGAUGGGCAAGGAGUCAUGGUUUCAUUGUAGAAAGAUGAGAAGGAUACGCAACAGCUUGGGUACUUUGAUGACAGAAUCUGGGAAUAGGUGCAUGUGACAGUCCAAGUCACUGCAUUCAAAUGUUAAAGCAGUAUAACUGGAGAUUCUUUUUUAUGUUAAUAUAUAUAUGUCUAGCUUAAUUGAAACAUCUGGUGACAAAGAUUUGGUUGGUAGAUUCAGCUUCAAAGAAAACUUACUCAAUGCUUGUGUCUUUCUCCUGUGAUCUGGUGUGAAAAAAACUGUCGAUGGAACGACCUCUGCAGGGCCACAAGUGUACCCUGGUCCCGGGCCCAUAAGCACGAAGUCCUUGGGAAGCUUUAAGGUUUUAUUGGAAGUCCCAGCAACACCAACACUUACCUGAAAGGCAGAGACUGCCGCUGAAGGAUCCUGGCCCCAGGAUGCCACCACACCGCCCUUGCAGCAAUUGGCAUACUGCUGGUUGUAAGGGACUCCAGGAAGCAAGUCCACAAUUAUGGGAUUCUUCUUGCAACAAUGAGAUGUUGUGAAUCCCAUUGCCUAAUGUUUUCAAAGGAUUUCAGGAAUCCAAUACGAACAAGUAAAAGAAGCUCGUCUAUUAUAAGGGAAACACGAGUUGCAACAGCAUGCAAAUGCAGAAUGUUUGUUGAUGGAACACCUGAAAUUUGUUCUCUUGGGUACUUCAUGCUAUAGUUUUAUCUUAUUUAUUUCUGAUUUGUUGCAGAUAUUAGAAAGUUGAAACAGGUGUGAGACAUAAGACAUUUGACCUCAACAGCUGAAGAGUUGCUGUUUUGGUGCAAUGAUAUCUGCUGAUUCUCAUUUGAAAUAGACUGUUUAU